GGAGGGGAGCAGCUUUCUGGGGACUUUCAGACACAGGAGUAAGGAGGCCAUUUGUGUUUUGGGGUCUGUAAAGAAGGAGCCCCAACCCCAGUGUGGAUCCUGGGGAAGGAAAAGGGACUCAGACUCUGACCGCAAGGGGUGGACCUAGAAGCCCCAGCAAACCGUCAGCCAUCCUCUGCCAUCCUUGAAGUCAGCCCCCAGAAGAUGCAUGUGGCCUGUGUGGUGCUCUGGUUGGCACAGGACACUCAGCCUUCUGACCACGUGGGAGCAGUUAUCAACAGGUGCCACCUCAGUGGGAACGGGUCAGCGUCCUGGUUCUCCUGGCCAAGGUGCAGAAGUUGGAGCCUCCACCUCCCCCUCCACUUUUUGAGUACAUGAGACCUGGAGGUUCUUGGGCAAUUUGAAAGGAGAGGAAGAUUCCAGAGGAAGUGUUCCCCAGGGCAGCCUUAUCAGGUGGAUAGGUCCCAG
rnacentral:lncRNA from 1 species